AAGGAGGGGGCCCCGCCUCUAAAAAUUGCCAAGUUCUCAGCGAACUGUUUAGAAGCUUGCUUCUAUGACGUUAGCGGCGGACGGGUGAGUAACACGUGGGCAACCUGCCUGUAAGACUGGGAUAACUCCGGGAAACCGGAGCUAAUACCGGAUAACAUUUUCUCUUGCAUAAGAGAAAAUUGAAAGAUGGUUUCGGCUAUCACUUACAGAUGGGCCCGCGGUGCAUUAGCUAGUUGGUGAGGUAACGGCUCACCAAGGCAACGAUGCAUAGCCGACCUGAGAGGGUGAUCGGCCACACUGGGACUGAGACACGGCCCAGACUCCUACGGGAGGCAGCAGUAGGGAAUCUUCCGCAAUGGACGAAAGUCUGACGGAGCAACGCCGCGUGAGUGAUGAAGGCUUUCGGGUCGUAAAACUCUGUUGUUAGGGAAGAACAAGUACAAGAGUAACUGCUUGUACCUUGACGGUACCUAACCAGAAAGCCACGGCUAACUACGUGCCAGCAGCCGCGGUAAUACGUAGGUGGCAAGCGUUAUCCGGAAUUAUUGGGCGUAAAGCGCGCGCAGGCGGUUUCUUAAGUCUGAUGUGAAAGCCCACGGCUCAACCGUGGAGGGUCAUUGGAAACUGGGGAACUUGAGUGCAGAAGAGAAAAGCGGAAAUUCCACGUGUAGCGGGUGAAAUUGCGUAGAGAUGUGAGGAACACCAGUUAGACGGAAGGCGGGCUUUUUUGGGUUCUGGUAUACCUGAACGCUGGAGGCCGCGAUAGCGUUGGGGAAGCAGAACAGAUUUAAGAUACGCUUGGUUAGUUCCACGCCCGUUAAACGAUUGAAUGCUAAGCUGGUUUAGAGGGCUUUCCGCCCCUUAGUUGCCUGCCAGCCUUAACCGCGCAGUAAGCACUCCGGACCCUUGGGCGGAGUUCCGGUCUCGCAG
rnacentral:rRNA from 2 species